CUUUCUGGGUAGUAACAAGUANGAUCCGUACCGAGAAGUUAGGGAUAACUUGAGGAAACUCAAGCUAAUACCUAAUGAUAUAUCAUACUUUUAGUAUGCUAUUAAAGAUUUAUCGCUUCUUGAUCGGCCUGCUUCGUAUCAGCUUGUUGGUAAGGUAAUGGCUUACCAAGGCUAUGACGCGUAGGGGGAGUGAGAGCUCGAUCCCCACCAUUGGAACUGANACACUGUCCAAACACCUACGGGUGGCUGCAGUCGAGAAUCUUCCGCAAUGCACGAAAGUGUGACGGAGCGACGCCGCGUGGUUGAUGACGCCCUUCGGGGUGUAAGACCUUUUAUGAGGGAGGAAGUUUAUUGACGUUCCUCAUGAAUAAGGGGCUCCAAACUCUGUGCCACAGGANCGGUAAUACAAAGCCCCAAGUGUAUCCGGAAUACUGGGCNUAAAGGGUCGUANGNGGUUGAUUANCUUNUNUAAACCUUGGCUUACCCAAAAUCCGGGAAAACGNCACUAAANAUNUAAAAGUNCCGACU
rnacentral:rRNA from 1 species